AGUCACUAUUAUCUUGUUUUAGAAAUUGUUUCACUUCACGUUUUGUAAAUGUGAGAAUGGGAACUUUUCAUUUAAUUAUUUUCGUAUAUAUGUAUGAAUUUCGUAAUAUUCACACGCGCAGCAAACUGAUGCAAUUCAAGAUCCGUUGCCUGUCAAAUGUUAGUAGUGCCAUUCGCCGGCCAACUGUAAAGUGCUGCCAGAAUCAGAAGUUGUGGAAUUUUCAUAUCGUGGUGAACUAUGGUGGAUUACGCUCAAUAAUGAACCGGAAGUGAAGGAAUUUGAAUUCAAAUGAAUAAUAGCGGAACGAUAAUUAAAAAAAAAGAUAAUUAAAAAUUAUGUGUGAAUAUGUAAUAUCUUCAGUUACUGACAAUAAAUAUAAUCAAUUAGAUGGUUCCAAAAUAA